AUUACUUAAAAACACGCAAAAUGGCAACAAAAAGAAAACUAUUAAUAAUUAAAAGCAAAAAAAUAAAAAAUAAUUAAAAAUUAUUUUAAUUUAUGCAAAAACUAACAAUAACAAUAAGAUGACAAAACUCAAAAGCAAAAAACCCACACAAAACAACAACAAUAAUUAUAAAUAAAUAAAAACAGACAUUUUACCAGAAAAGUCAAAGGGGGUUUUUUUCUCACUCUCGCGCUCUGCUCAACACUCUACGUUGUUUUUGUCAACUCAAUUAUAAAGCCAAACAUGAUAAACAUUUAACUUUAGAAAAAAAAAAAAUAAUUUAUAUAAAUAAUAAUAAAAAACUUGAAAAUAUGAUUCACCUAAAUAGGUACCACCGUCGUUUUGGUCGAUUAAUCAGAGGUAUAUUCUCACGGACUAUGGGAGUCGUUGCAGAAUUUUGUGAUGAAACGUCAUCCAUAUUCAUUUUCGCCAUGGAAAAGCUUUCAAUUAAUUCACACAAUUUAUUUGUUUAAGGUAUUUUUCCUUUAAAACUUUAAUAUUUUAGACUCUUGUUUAAAAGAAUCUAGGGAUUUUUUAAAGAUUUUCUUUGCAAUUAAUGCCACCACAACACAAAGGAAAGUUUUUUCUUGUUAUUUUGCUUCGUCUUUGUCGUCGUCGUUUUUUUUUUUAAUUUUCUAACCAAGGGAAUUUCUUUUAAGUUUAUCUUCUGUCUUAAAAGCAAAAUAAUUACACUUUAAAACACUUAUUUUGUUCAUAACUUUCUUUUUCUUUAAUUAAAAUAAUUUAUUCUAUUAUUCUUUGGCUUUUUUAUAAUGAAUAUCACCAAAAAACUUGCAUAGUUUGUAAUGUUUUUAUACUUGAAUAAAACUUCGUCUACAAAAA